UACGGAGGGUGCGAGCGUUGUCCGGAAUCACUGGGCGUAAAGGGCGCGUAGGCGGCCUGGCAAGUCGGUGGUGAAAGCCCGUGGCUCAACUACGGGUCGGCCACCGAUACUGCUAUGGCUCGAGUUUGGUAGAGGCAGAUGGAAUUCCGGGUGUAGCGGUGGAAUGCGUAGAGAUCCGGAAGAACACCGGUGGCGAAGGCGGUCUGCUGGGCCAAGACUGACGCUGAGGCGGCGACAGCGGUGGGGAGCAAACAGGAU
rnacentral:rRNA from 1 species